rnacentral:misc_RNA from 1 species
GAGUUCAUGCCCUUACGGGUAGAUCUCCCACCCUUGAAUAUCUAAACCUUUGUUGCUUUGGCGGGCCGCUUCGGCUACCGGCUCCGGCUGGUGAGUGCCCGCCAGAGAACCUUAAACUCUGAAUUAUAGUGUCGUCUGAGUACUAUAAAAUAGUUAAAACUUUCAACAACGGAUCUCUUGGUUCU